UACGUAGGUGACAAGCGUUGUCCGGAUUUACUGGGCGUAAAGAGCGCGCAGGCGGUCGAUCAAGUCGAGUGUGAAAGCCCCCGGCUCAACUGGGGAGGGUCAUUCGAUACUGAUCGACUCGAAGGCAGGAGAGGGUAGUGGAAUUCCCGGUGUAGUGGUGAAAUGCGUAGAUAUCGGGAGGAACACCAGUGGCGAAGGCGGCAUCCUGGACCGGUAUUGACGCUGAUGCGCGAAAGCGUGGGGAGCAAACAGG
rnacentral:rRNA from 1 species